rnacentral:rRNA from 1 species
GCUGGUCUGAGAGGACGACCAGCCACACUGGAACUGAGACACGGUCCAGACACCUACGGGUGGCAGCAGUCGAGAAUUUUUCUCAAUGGGGGAAACCCUGAAGGAGCGACGCCGCGUGGAGGAUGAAGGUUUUCGGAUUGUAAACUCCUGUCAUUUGGGAACAAACCUUUCAUUUAACUGAUGGAGGACUGAUAGUACCAGAAGAGGAAGAGACGGCUAACUCUGUGCCAGCAGCCGCGGUAAUACAGAGGUCUCAACCGUUGUUCGGACUCAUUGGGCGUAAAGGGUGCGUAGGCGGUCGCGCAAGUCGGAUGUGAAAUCUCAGGGCUCAACCCUGAAACUGCAUUCGAUACUGCGUGGCUAGAGUGCUGGAGAGGAGACUGGAAUUUACGGUGUAGCAGUGAAAUGCGUAGAUAUCGUAAGGAAGACCAGUGGCGAAGGCGAGUCUCUGGACAGCAACUGACGCUGAGGCACGAAGGCCAGGGGAGCAAACGGGAUUAGAUACCCCGGUAGUCCUGGCAGUAAACGGUGCACGUUUGGUGUAGGCGGAUUCGACCCCGCCUGUGCCGGAGCUAACGCGUUAAACGUGCCGCCUGGGAAGUACGGUCGCAAGAUUAAAACUCAAAGAAAUUGACGGGGGCCCGCACAAGCGGUGGAGUAUGUGGCUUAAUUCGAUACCACGCGAAGAACCUUACCAGGGUUUGACAUGUAUUGUAACCUCGGUGAAAGCCGGGUAGCCGGGUUAAACCGGCGCUUUACACAGGUGCUGCAUGGCUGUCGUCAGCUCGUGUCGUGAGAUGUUGGGUUAAGUCCCGCAACGAGCGCAACCCCUGUGUCCUGUUGCCACUCCUUAAUUGGAAGCACUCUGGACAGACUGCCCUGUGAAACGGGGAGGAAGGUGGGGAUGACGUCAAGUCAGCAUGGCCCUUACACCCUGGGCUGCACACGUACUACAAUGCUCAGUACAAUAGGAGCCGAAACCGCGAGGUGGAGGAAAUCACUAAAACUGAGCCCAAUUCGGAUCGCAGGCUGCAACUCGCCUGCGUGAAGCCGGAAUCGCUAGUAAUGCCGUAUCAGCUACGACGGCGUGAAUACGUUUCCGGGCCUUGUACACACCGCCCGUCACAUCAUGGGAGUCACUUGCACCCGAAGUGCACAAUUUGUGCCCUACGGUAUGAGUGGUAACUGGGAUGAAGUCGUAACAAGGUA